rnacentral:rRNA from 1 species
UACAGAGGGGGCAAGCGUUGUUCGGAAUUACUGGGCGUAAAGGGCGCGUAGGCGGCCUGUUAAGUCGAACGUGAAAUCCCCGGGCUCAACCCGGGAACUGCGUCCGAUACUGGCAGGCUUGAAUCCGGGAGAGGGAUGCGGAAUUCCCGGUGUAGUGGUGGAAUGCGUAGAUAUCGGGAGGAACACCAGUGGCGAAGGCGGUUGCCUGGAGCUUUGCUGACGCUGAUGCGCGAAAGCGUGGGGAGCGAUCCGG